AACUUGGUCAUUUAGAGGAAGUUAAAGUCGUAACAAGGUUUCCGUAGGUGAACCUGCGGAAGGAUCAUUAAUGAAACCCGCGGGGCCCCUCUGCCCCCGCACCGGCGGGGACGCCGUGCUGCGGGGGCGGCUGGGCCCUGUCCACACCCACACCCGUACACCUUUGGGGCGGUUACGGUGGUGACGCCGGCCGCCCCGUUUUCACACACUCUGGAUGUUACCUUAGAAUGAUCGGGGUCGUUGUGCCCUCUAACAAAUAACAACUUUCAACAACGGAUCUCUUGGCUCUCGCAUCGAUGAAGAACGCAGCGAAAUGCGAUAAGUAAUGUGAAUUGCAGAAUUCAGUGAAUCAUCGAAUCUUUGAACGCACCUUGCGCUCCUUGGUAUUCCGAGGAGCAUGCCCGUUUGAGUGUCUUGAAACCAUCGCCCCGCGGAUUCGCGUCCGGACGGGGACGGACUUGGGGGUUGCUGCCGCGAGGCGGCUCCCCUUAAAUGCAUCGGUCGUGGCCCGUUGGCCAGCGUCCCUAGCGUUGUAUCACCCUCGCCUCUGGAUUUUGGCCCAGUGCCCGACUCUGACCUGCCUGUGGAGCGGCGGUCGAAACCUUUCGAGUUCUGACCUCAAAUCGGGUAGGACUACCCGCUGAACUUAAGCAUAUCAAUAAGCGGAGGAAAAGAAACUAACAAGGAUUCCCCUAGUAAC
rnacentral:rRNA from 1 species